AGAAACCACACCCUCACAAAAAUGUAAACUUCAUCUCACUUGCUGUUCACCCAAGCCGUCAAGCCUCAACUCCGACAAGCUUUAGUCCACCGAGCCUCACCGCCGUCAAGCUUCACUCCGCCGAUCCUCACCUCCAUUGAGCCUCACUCUGCCGUUCCUCACCUCCACCGAUCCUCACACCGAGUCACACCUCUCCACCGUUCCCUUGCAUGUCCGCCGAUCCACACCGCCGCCGAGCUAGACCACCAUCUCACCACUCAAGAGCCUCCACCCGUUCCGAUCACCGAUCAACAAGUCCUCUGACAUUCUCGCCGUCUUUGAUGCUAACGGACGCCUAAUUGAUUUCCUUAAUAUAGGAAGUCCUUUUGACGCCAUGAUUUGCAAUAGAUAAAUGCUAAUCAUGUAGUUCAUCCUUUUAAUGUAAAGUAUGAAUUGGGGUGGUAGGCCUACUGCUGACACAAGGUUAAAUACUCAUUGUUUGUGAAACUUUGGAUUUUUUCUUAAAGGUGUACGCUUAGCUUGAGCAUAGUAAGUAAAAUUUGUUUAAAUACAUAAAAAACUCUAUAUUUGUAAUGUUGAUGAUUGGCUUUGUGGUGGGUUGUUAUAUUGAAGCAAGCAGAUGGCUUGCAUGGAGUUAUAAGGUGGUUUAAAUUCACAUUGAGAGUGUUUUUAUUUUUUGAAUUGUGAAUGGAUAUUGUUGAUAUAUAUGUUAUGAAUAUUAUUUAAUUAUUUUUAAUACUUGUAGCAUUAUAUAUUGUGAAGUUGAUAAUGGGUUUUUAAUACUUGGCAUGAGACCUUCCUCUUCUCUAGUAACCACCGCCUCAUCUAGUUCCUCGGUGGAAUAUAUCCAUCGUCUAGAAAGUGAGAUACUUGAACUCAAAGAGGCAAGAGCUAGGGACCAAGAGGCACGAGCUAAGCAAGAAGAGGUCCAAAAGAAUAUUCUUAGCUUUUUGAGAAACAAGGGUUAGAUAACGCUCUUACCUAUGGGGGUAGUUCAACUUUACGAUUUUAAUGUAAUAUUGUUUUUAUUUUUGUACAGAUUUCUUAUUGGUGGCUUUUAGAGGAUUUACUUUUGGCAUUACUUGAAGACACGAGGACAUCUUCCAUUAGUUCUAAUUAUAUUAUACUACACUUUUUGUAUUGUUAUAAAACAUCUUGAGUUAUUGUAUGUGUUGUAAACAAUUAUUGUAUGGAAGGAGUUUGAAUUGAAUACUUGUUUUA